rnacentral:rRNA from 1 species
GACGAACGCUGGCGGCGUGCUUAACACAUGCAAGUCGAACGGGGAUUAUUUGGAUGAGAGCUUCGGCAGGAUUCCGGAUAAUUCGAGUGGCGGACGGGUGAGUAACGCGUGAGCAACCUGUCCCAGACAGGGGGAUAACACUUGGAAACAGGUGCUAAUACCGCAUGAGACCACGGCAUCACAUGGUGCAGGGGUAAAAGGUGCAAACCGGUUUGGGGUGGGCUCGCGUCCGAUUAGAUAGUUGGUGAGGUAACGGCCCACCAAGUCGACGAUCGGUAGCCGAUCUGAGAGGAUGACCGGCCACAUUGGAACUGAGAGACGGUCCAAACUCC